rnacentral:rRNA from 1 species
GUGAGGAAUUUUCCGCAAUGGGCGAAAGCCUGACGGAGCAAUGCCGCGUGAAGGAUGAAGGCCUAUGGUUUGUAAACUUCUUUUCUCAGAAAAGAAUUAUGACGGUAUCUGAGGAAUAAGCAUCGGCUAACUCUGUGCCAGCAGCCGCGGUAAGACAGAGGAUGCAAGCGCUAUCCGGAAUGAUUGGGCGUAAAGCGUCUGUAGGUUGUUUAAAAAGUAUUCUGUCAAAGAUUAGGGCUUAACCCUAGAUAGGCAGAAUAAACUUUUAAGCUAGAGUUUGGUAGAGGCAGAGGGAAUUCCCGGUGGAGCGGUGAAAUGCGUAGAUAUCGGGAGGAACACCAAAGGCGAAGGCACUCUGCUGGGCCAAUACUAACACUGAGAGACGAAAGCGAGGGGAGCAAAUGGGAUUAGAUACCCCAGUAGUCC